GCCCUGAUAGCGCAGUGGUUAAGCACUUGGCUGCUAACCAAAAGGCAGGCGGUUCAAACCCGCCUAGCUGCU
rnacentral:tRNA from 1 species